GCAGAAGGAGUGCAGAGCCAGGGAGCCAGAGCUGCAGCCACAGCGAGAGAGGCUGUCAACAUGAAAUAACCUCCUCUACUGAGUUCAAGAUACAAUCAAGCCAUUUGUUAGCAAGCCCUUAAAUUCCGAUACCUAAAUAAACUGUACUAUAGUACUGACCUACUUUAUGAUAAGAUGGAGAUUUAUAAAGAAGACAUUCUUCUGAUUCCUGCAUAGUAUGCUUCGAAGAACAGUAGGAAUAGCCUAUAUCCUUAAGGUCCUGACCAAGCUGGCCAUUGUAAAGAGCUACCUGCAAAGACAUUAAAUACAAAUUGAAGUGAGACUGUUAGUUCAAUGGUACUCAAACUUUUUAACCUUGGGACCCCUCUUUACAUCUACAUUUGGACGUUGCACAUUCACACCCAUACUCAAUGUAGUAUAUGAAUAAACAUAUUUUGCUUAUUUAGGGUGCAUAUUUUCAUUAGCCAAUUCAUGCAUAUUCAUAUUUUAACAUUUUAUAAGGAAAUAACAUCAUUAUCGUAGAACUCAUGCUGCUUUCUGGGGCAGCAGAACAAACCCACACUCUCCUCUGUCUGACAACCCUUUAUAUAUUAAAUAGUACAGAAGUCUACAGAAAUCAUCCCUCAGUCUUCUCUUCUCAGGCUGAACAUGCCCAGUUUCUUUAACAUUUCCUCUAAUAGUUUUUUGUGGGUUUUUCGGGCUAUGGAUGCCGGCCAUGAAAGCCUUCGACUUCACAUUUCCUCUAAUGUUUUGUUCUCCAUACCUCUUACCAUUCUUGUUGCCCAUCCCUGAAUGUUGCCAUCUCUUGUCUAUAUCCUUUUUAAAUUGGGUGAGAGAUUAUGGGAGUUUCACUCAAGUAGCAUAUGUAGGCAGGGCCACAUAUUCUGCAUCCAUGGGGUAGAAGGUGAAAAGUCUGGUCAUCUAGUAAUUAUCAUAUAACCUAUAGGUACAACAACUUUUACACACACGCGCGCACACACACACGCACACACACACACACUAAAUACCUGAGACAAAGACUGGAUUUGAGAAAUAACAGAGUAGAUAUAUAUUGAUAGUAUAAUAGUUUGAUUAACAUUGGAAUCUGUUAAGUUUAAAUGCAUCUGCGGUUAAUAUGUAUUGUAUAUACUGGGAAUUACUGGAUUUUAUUUAUUAAUAAAAAUGAAUUUAAAAAAAGAUCUGGCCAUAUGUAAGACAAAUCCCAAUUUUCUCAGUUCUAGCCUAUCCAUACCCACAGUAAAGUAGUUUCCAACAGAAAUGCAAUAGUGUAUCUGUACAAUUGUACACUAGUCUGUUUGCUCAUGGUCAUAUUUAGCAACCACUUGGUGGGAUGGUACUAGUAAUUAUAUACAGUUUGGAUCAUCCUCAUGUCUUUACUGGUAAUAGAAAAAUAAUAUGUUAAUUCAUUAUUGUAUAUCCCACACAUUUGUUUUGGAUCUCUCCAUUCCCCAGAGGUUAGUUGCGUUCCUGGCUGUUUUUUAAAAUGUAAUCUUGGCAUUUUGGGCAGCUGUACCAGCAGCUUGGGAAUGCUGUCAAAAUGAGCUCUUCAGCCUGUGGAAGCCCAUCUCAAAUUGUUGGCUAAUAUUCUGAGCAGAUUCUGAGACAGUAAAGCCAUUUCAUUUUUAAUUGGAUCAUCUGGAAUUAACAGUUGUGGCUAUACCUCAGUUACAUUUUUACAUUCUUUUGACACACUGCUAUAUUAAUGUAAUUGCUAGAUAACAUAUUUUUACAGUUCUGGCACACAAGCCCCUGAUUUUUCCAAUAUGAUGCUCUCUGCAACUUCAGGUACCUUAAUUUUUCCAGAGACAAAUUGGAAAUUGCCUGUGAAUUAAAUGCUCUCUGUUUUGAAUGUGUGGUUUGUUUGUUCCACUUGCCCAAACACACUUCCAUUUUGUAACAUUUUAAGCACAAAUAUCAUAUUCCUGAGCCCAUGUUUGAAAAUAAAAUCUGAGCUAGAUGUUUA